CCAUUCUGUCAGUCCCUUUGAAUAUCGGCAUGUUUCAUGGAGUAUUGGAGGUUAUGGAACUUAUCAAGAUGUCAUCACACUUGCAAACAUCUUCAAGCUGUUUAACCCCGAGCUGCUGGGUCCGGCUCCACUGUGGACGCUCCAUGGCUACCCUGCUAGCAUCAAUGAGACAGGAUUCAACUUUGCUGUGACAGGACACAAC